rnacentral:lncRNA from 1 species
UGAAUUGCAUGGAGCUCAGUCCUUAUGUUUGUUGUAAAGCCACAAUAACCUGAAAAAUCCCGCAAGCCAAGCGCCAAAAUAAUCACGAAUAAUUCCUCCAAAUCCCAAUGGUCCCGGGUUAUCCAAGGAGCUGCUAUCAAUUUUGAGUUUCACCUUGAAUGGAUGAGGGGGAGACCACGAGAUUUGCUGAAUCUGACGAGUAUAACUUGUUGAUUCCGAAGAAGAAAGGAUGGAACUGUGAAGCCAGGAUGCACCAAAAUAGGGACGGGUUCAGAGACACGAAACGGCAAAUCUAAAAAUUAUUAGAUAAGGGUUCGGCU